rnacentral:rRNA from 1 species
GCCAUGCCGCGUGCAGGAUGACGGCCCUAUGGGUUGUAAACUGCUUUUAUACGGGAAGAAACGCACCUACGUGUAGGUGUCUGACGGUACCGUAAGAAUAAGGACCGGCUAACUCCGUGCCAGCAGCCGCGGUAAUACGGAGGGUCCGAGCGUUAUCCGGAAUCAUUGGGUUUAAAGGGUCCGUAGGCGGGCCUGUAAGUCAGGGGUGAAAGUUUGUGGCUCAACCAUAAAAUUGCCUUUGAUACUGCAGGUCUUGAGUCAUGGUGGGGUCGCCGGAACAUGUGGUGUAGCGGUGAAAUGCAUAGAUAUCACAUAGAACACCGAUCGCGAAGGCAGGUGACCAACCAUGUACUGACGCUGAUGGACGAAAGCGUGGGUAGCGAACGGGAUUAGAUACCCCGGUAGUCCACGCCGUAAACGAUGGAUACUAGCUGUGGGGACUUCGGUCUCCGUGGCCAAGCGAAAGUGAUAAGUAUCCCACCUGGGGAGUACGUUCGCAAGAAUGAAACUCA